ACAGAUUAUACAGUUUUUAUCAGGUAAAGCUAAUGAUUAGUGGACUCGGGGGGUCUGAGACUCUCGACCAAUUCUCAAACUUUAAAUUGGUAAGAACCUUUAGUUAUCUUAAUUGAACUGAAGGGAUGAAUGUAUUGUUCUUAGUGGGCCAUUUUUGGUAAGCAGAACUGGCGAUGAGGGAUGAACCUAACGUUGAGAUAAGGUGCCCAAAUUCACGCUCAUGAGACACCAUAAAAAGGUGUUGGUUAGUUUAAAACAGCCGGACUGUGGCCAUGGAAGUCGGCAGCAGCUAAGGAGUGUGUAACAACUCACCAGCCGAAUUAACCAGCCCUGAAAAUUGAUGGCGCUAAGCGUGAUACCGAUACUCAACCAUUAAGGCAAAUAGAAGCUUUAAUGAGUAAGAGGGCGUGAAUACUGUGCAGAAGGCUUGGAUGUGAAUCUGGCUGGAACAGUAUUAGUGCAGAUCUUGGUGGUAGUAGCAAAUA
rnacentral:rRNA from 1 species